rnacentral:rRNA from 1 species
GGACUACCCGGGUUUCUAAUCCUGUUCGCUCCCCUAGCUUUCGCACCUGAGCGUCAGUUACCAGCCAGGACACUGCCUUCGCCUUUGGUAUUCCUCCGGAUAUCUACGCAUUUCACCACUCCACCCGGAAUUCUAUGUCCCUCUCUGGUCCUCAAGUUCCGCAGUUUUCAGAGGCCUUGCCUGGUUAAGCCAGGCACUGUCACUCCAAACUUACGCAACCGCCUGCGUGCGCUUUACGCCCAAUAAAUCCGGACAACGCUCGCCCCCUACGUAUUACCGCGGCUGCUGGCAC